UACGUAGGGUGCAAGCGUUGUCCGGAAUUAUUGGGCGUAAAGAGCUCGUAGGCGGUCUGUCGCGUCGGCUGUGAAAACCCGGGGGCUCAACCCCGGGCCUGCAGUCGAUACGGGCAGACUAGAGUGCGGUAGGGGAGACUGGAAUUCCUGGUGUAGCGGUGAAAUGCGCAGAUAUCAGGAGGAACACCGGUGGCGAAGGCGGGUCUCUGGGCCGUAACUGACGCUGAGGAGCGAAAGCGUGGGGAGCGAACAGG
rnacentral:rRNA from 1 species